GCCAGGUGUGGUGGUGCAUGCCUGUAAUCCCAGUGGUUCAGGAGGCUGAGGCAGGAGGAUUGAGAGUUCAAAGCCAGCCUCAGCAAAACAAGGUGCUAAGCAACUCAGUGAGACCCUGUCUCUA
rnacentral:sRNA from 1 species